CGGUGGCGACGACAACGACGAGAGGGGCAACAUUGACGUCGGCGAUCACGUCUUCCUCGUGCGCAGAGUUGGGCCGAGGGAGACCAACUAUGAUUCUGGACUCAUGACUUCCACCCACAUCGACUCGAAAACGGCAGCGACUUAAAGGAAUCUGACUUAUGAAACGAGAACGAAGCGGGAAGACGCUGAUUUCGACCGAAACUGAAGAGGCGCCGAAGAGAGUUUAAGGGCUGACGAGAACCACCCUCUGUGAAAAUCGAGCUACUUUAAAUCUCAAACGUCGUAUCACCGCUGCUUCGGGAAGCCAGAAAUUAGAACCUCUCGUCCCUCUUUCUUUCAUCCCUUUCUCUCUCUUUAUCCCUCUUUUGCUCUCUUCUCUCCUUCUCUCUACCGCUCUCCCUCAUUUCGGUGUCUCACUUCCGCGCGGAAGAUCGAUCGAUAUUUCGUCCCGACGGCGGCUAUUAACGACACGCGUACUUUCAUUCGCUCCCUCUCUCACUCCGUUUUUCACGCUACGAUUGCUUCCAAACGUUAGGUGCGCCAACCCCUUUCGCAACCAACUGGUCGCUUCUUCCAUCAAUGUCAGAUAGUGCGAGUUAAAAUCCCGCGUAUCCCUCAACCCCGUUGGUAUCCUUUGACAGCGAGGACUAUAGCACGUGAUCCAUUGGUUCCCUCGUAACGUCGUUCGUCAGCCGGUGCUCGAUUUUUAUCGGUUCGCCUACGUGCCACCCACUCCAUUUCGCGAAUAGGUCCUACCCUAUGACGUAUCCUUCCUCGUACUUCGCGUCCUUACCAUCCUACCGCAGCCUGUUUCUACGCGGUCGCGUAUGCGUCCGCAAACAGUCAAUAAGGAGUACUAUCGGGGCACACACGUAUCAAAAAGGAACGAACGGAACUCGAAUAAAAAACCAUUCCUUUCGUCGUCGGGAAGGGGUGUAUGCGUAAUAUUAAGAAACAAAUUGUUGCUGGUUACUUCUCGAGGAGGGAGAGACCGAUCUCAGUAUUUUUUCGGACGCCAUAGUGCGGACGCUGGUUAACAUUACGAAUAAAUAGUGAAGAGAUAACUACUGUUGACAUUGUUGUUAUUAUUGUUAUAUUAACUUUAUUGUUAUAUCCCCGUUAUUGCUGUACGUCCGCUGCUCAUCCGCUCCCGCUGAAGUCGAUGAACAGUGUGGCGGUGAUAGUGGUAGUGGUAUCAGUGAGGGGUACGUGAACGCGCGGACGGUGUUAGAUAAGCGUGUUUCUGCCAAAUCUCUCGUGUGGAGAAGGAGAGAAAGUGAAGAGAAGGGGACCGGGAUUCUUUAACUCUAGGGAUUCUUUAACUUCAUACGAAGAUACAAACGGUGAGAUCGGAAUCCGCGUGUACUCGAGGAAAAGGAAAUAAACAGGCGGCAGGAAGUGGAGAAGAGAAGCGCGUUGGGGUCGCGCGCCGAGUGAGCUUGGCAAACAAACACGAAGAGUGUGCUAAAGAUCUCAAUUAAGUACACCACCCGCAGGGAGGAGUGAUCGAUUCAUUGUGUACCCAUCGAGACCCACAGGAGAAUGGUAGUCGAGACCGGAAGAAAUGGGCACGAGCUGGCUCCCUUGAACAACCACCGCCAACCCGGCCACAACGUGACGAUCGUGGCGACAGCAACUCAAAAUGUUGUUGGUCAGGAAACGAAGGAAGAGAACAGGGCGGCGUGGAGCGGGAAAAUGCAAUUUUUUCUCAGUAUUAUUGGAUACAGCGUCGGUCUGGGUAAUAUCUGGAGGUUUCCUUAUCUGUGCCAACAGAACGGAGGUGGUGCCUUCCUCAUUCCCUUUUUCGUGAUGCUUAUCCUGGAGGGUGUACCCCUCUUUUUAAUCGAGUUGGGUCUCGGACAACGUAUGCGGCAGGGUGCCCUGGGAGUAUGGAACACAAUACACCCUUGGCUAGGUGGUAUAGGGAUCGCGUCGUGUAUAGUGACGUUUUUCGUUGCGCUUUACUACAACGUAAUUAUUACCUGGUGCGUCUACUACCUCUUCAACUCGGUCGAGGCCAUCACGAUCAAAUUUGGCGAAUCACUGCCGUGGGCAAAAUGCCCGGUAUUGGACGGGAAACCGGUCGAGGAAUGUGUCAAAAGUUCGGAGACCGCGUAUUUUUGGUACAGGACUACUUUGGAUGCGGCACCGUCCAUUGAGGAUGGCCAAGGUCUCAAAUGGUGGAUCGUACUUUGUCUUUUGCUCAGCUGGGUUGUCGUGUUUUUCAUCGUCAUGAAAGGAAUACAGUCGUCCGGCAAAGUAGUAUACUUUACGUCAAUGUUCCCAUAUCUCGUACUAACCAUCUUUUUCAUCCGCGGGAUAACGUUGAAAGGAGCAAGCGCCGGACUGGCGCACAUGUACACGCCAAAGGUCGAGAAAUUGUUGGAGCCCACGGUCUGGCUUGACGCGGCGACCCAGGUCUUCUAUAGUUUCGGGCUGGCGUUCGGCUCCCUGAUAGCAUUUGGCAGCUACAAUACUCCUGACAACCACUGCGUGAGGGACGUGAUCCUGGUGAGCGUGUGCAACGCGUUUACUGCCAUUUACGCGAGCGUUGUCAUUUUCGCCAUUUUGGGGUUCAAGGCAAUGUCAAACGUGGACAAGUGCGUCGUCAGUGCGAGGGAUACCCUGAUACAAAAUGGGCUAGUGCCUAAUUCGACCUCAUUCAGCCUCGAGGACUACGAACUCUUUAUGAGCACCUCCUACAAUUCUUCAAUGAAUUUUACGAUGAAAUCAUGCAGUCUCAGCAAGGAAUUGGACAACGCUGCCGAGGGCACCGGACUGGCUUUCAUCAUCUUUACACAGGCAAUCGUGGAAUUGCCGGGUGCUCCGUUUUGGUCUUGCAUUUUCUUCAUGAUGCUUCUUGCCCUCGGCUUGGGUUCGCAAAUCGGACUACUCGAGGGUAUGCUCUGCGUAAUUUUCGAAAUAGAUCUCUUCAAAAGAAUAAAGAAGCAAUAUAUGACAGGAGUUGUUUGCGUUGUAUGCUUCUUCGUUGGGCUCAUCUUCUGUACUGGCGCCGGAGAAUAUUGGCUGAAGAUGUUUGAUAGUUUCGCCGGCACCAUCGGUCUCGUUAUAGUCGCCCUAAUGGAAAUGAUCUCUGUGAUUUUCGUGUACGGUCACGAAAAAUUUACGAAGGACAUCGAAGAGAUGACCGGAUAUAAACCUGGAGCUUAUUGGCAAGUCACGUGGCGGUUUCUCGCUCCCAUAAUAAUGCUUUGCAUCCUUGUGUUUAGCAUCAUUUCCAUGUUCAUCAAGAAACCACAAUAUUCGGCGUGGAAUGCGGCAACGGGUGAGACAGAGCCCACGAGUUAUCCUGGCUGGGUGCUGGGUAUUGCCGUCAUCAUCAUUUUGGCAGGAAUCGCUCCGAUUCCGAUCGUUUUCCUUUUACGACGAUUCCAAUUGGUGAAACUCGACGUGGAUAUACAUCAAGGCAGUAUUCGACGUAUCGAUACCACUGUUUCUACCAAAGAGAUGAUGGGCGACGUUGACUUGUAGGUAAGCAUCCAUUCUGUCUGUGGUAACGUCGAUUACUCGAUAUCCCCGUAGCUACGUCACACCUUGACGAGUAUCAUGAUCGACUCGAGGACUUCCCGGAAGAAGAUGAAGACAUUAAUAGCGAUGAUGAUAUGAAUACUG